UACGUAGGGGGCAAGCGUUGUCCGGAUUUAUUGGGCGUAAAGAGCGUGUAGGCGGCCAUACAGGUCCGUUGUGAAAACUGGAGGCUUAACCUCCAGACGUCGAUGGAAACCGUAUGGCUAGAGUCCGGAAGAGGAGAGUGGAAUUCCUGGUGUAGCGGUGAAAUGCGUAGAUAUCCGGAGGAACACCGGUGGCGAAGGCGGCUUCCUGGACCGACACUGACGCUGAGGCGCGAAAGCUAGGGGAGCAAACGGG
rnacentral:rRNA from 1 species